rnacentral:rRNA from 1 species
GAAUCUUGCGCAAUGGGCGAAAGCCUGACGCAGCGACGCCGCGUGCGGGAAGAAGGCCUUCGGGUUGUAAACCGCUUUCAGGAGGGAAGAAGCGAAAGUGACGGUACCUCCAGAAGAAGCCCCGGCCAACUACGUGCCAGCAGCCGCGGUAAUACGUAGGGGGCAAGCGUUGUCCGGAAUUAUUGGGCGUAAAGAGCUCGUAGGCGGUCCGUUAAGUCGGAAGUGAAAUCUCAAGGCUCAACCUUGAAACUGCUUUCGAUACUGGCGGACUUGAGGCAGGUAGGGGAAGGUGGAAUUCCUGGUGUAGCGGUGAAAUGCGCAGAUAUCAGGAGGAACACCAGUGGCGAAGGCGGCCUUCUGGGCCUGUUCUGACGCUGAGGAGCGAAAGCGUGGGGAGCAAACAG